rnacentral:rRNA from 1 species
ACAACUUUCCACAACCGAUCUCUUGGCUCUCGCCUCCAUGAAGAACCGCAGCGAAAUGCGAUAAGUAAUGUGAAUUGCAGAAUUCAGUGAAUCUCGAAUCUUUGAACGCACCUUGCACCCUUUGGUAUUUCGAAGGGUACGCCCGUUUGAGUGUCAUU